rnacentral:pre_miRNA from 1 species
UGUGUACUCCCUCCGUUCCAAAAUACUUGACUUCCAUUUAUCCAAAAAUGGAUGUACCUAUAUACUAAAACAUGUCUAGAUACAUCUAUAUUUUGACAAAUAGAAGGCAUGUAUUGUGGAACGGAGGGAGUAGAAA